GUUUGUAUGAUAAUUAUUAUCAAGAAACCUAUUUUGCUAAUAUUUUCAGAAAACAUUUUUUCUGAAAAUUUGAAACACUUUUCAAACAGUAGUAUUUCAUGCCAUUUGGAAAAAGUGUGAUACUUUUUUAUGACAUAAAUUCACUAUUUGUACUAAUAAACUAAAUAUAAUUCACUCCUUACCCAAAGGUCCUACUGCAGUCAACCCUUCAAUGUUUUAAUUGUGAAUCUUAUUUUUUCCAGGUUACGUAAUUAGGCUUUUAAAAAAAUAAAUAGUUGCUCCAGUUAAAAUCAGUCAGCUCAUACUCCACGUUAGGAACAAAUUAGGUGCCGUUCUGGUGCCAGUAGUAAAAUUAUACUGCAGUAGCUGAGCUCAAAGAAACUGUCCUACCCUUUCUUAAACUCACUUUCCAUUGCAAAACAAAAAAAGAAAGAAUUCAGUAUUUCAGUCAGUGUGGUUGCUGAGACACCUGUGUGUCAGAGCUGACACGUGCUCAUUCGGCAAGUUUUGGCAGAACUCUUGCCAUGUGCCCGGCACUGUUCUCUGCCCGUGUCCUCACAAGUAAGGAGAGACUGCCAGUAGACAAAUAAUUACAUGUCAAGUGGUGAAAAAUAAAGCAGGAUAAGGGGCGGAGGAUGCUGGAGGGGCUUGCUUACCUAUACAGGGUGGUGAGGAAAAGCCUUUCUGAUGAAUGACAUUACAAGAGAGACCAGAAGAAAUGAGAAGGGGUGACUCAUGCAGCUUCAGGGGAAAGGCAUUCCAGGCAGAGAGAACAGUCAGUACAAAGGCCCCGAGGCAGGAUCAAGUGGUGGGUUCUGGCAUGUGCUGGCCUGUGUUCUAAGAGGAGCAGACAGAUGAGUGCGUCACAGAGUAAGCAAGAGCGAGAGUCUUAGGAGAUGAAGUUAAAGAUAAGGAGUCGAAGUGAGGGCCUAUGAAUGAGGUGGGGCCGUCAGAAGGCUUUGAGCAGAGGGCGCCCUGGCGUGACUAGAAGGAUUCCUCUAGCUGCUGGUGGCUCCAGCUCCAGGAACAGGAAUGUGAGUUAGAGACUGUCAGGCUAAUCCAGGUGUAAGGAGAUGGGUUUGGUGUGAGUGGUGGCGGUGGAGGUGGCCAGAUUCAAGACUUUUCUGAGAGAAGAGCAUGUCGCAAUAUGCUGGUUGGCUGAGGAAUCAGGAAUGACUCCCAGGUUCUCGACUUGAGGAACUGGAAGAAGGAAGAGCUCAUUCACUGUGACAGGGAGACCAGGUGCAAAUUUGGGAGAAAGGAAACCGGGAGUUCUGUGUUGGAUAUGUUAAGUCUGAGAUGCGAACCCAAGGAGACUGUAAAGUGGCGAUUCAGUGCACUACGAGUCUGGCACUGAGGGGAGAGUUGGGUUGGAGGUGCAGAGUUGGGAGACAGCAGCACAGCAGUGGUGUCAAAGGCUGUGAGCUUGGGUGAGGUCACCCUGGGAGACAAAUACGGAAGACUGAGCCCUGGGGCUCCAGCGUCGGGAGGUCUGGAAGACGAGGAGGAACCAGCAAGGAGGCAGGAAGGGCUGAUCCUCGGGGUGGGAAAACCCCAAGAGCAAUGUUCAUGAAAGCUUGGGGAAGAAAAUGUUUCAAGAAGGAGGGAAUAGUUAUUGGUGUCAAAGGUCACCAUUAGUACAGAUUUAGAAUCAGCCAUUGGCUCUGAAAAUAUGAGGGUCAUUUGAGAUCUUGACAACAGCUGUUUGGGUGGAGCGGUGGGAAUGAAAGCUCCAUCAGAGAUUGUUCAAAUGAGGAUGAGAAGGGCCAAGUGGAGACGGUCACAUCGGCAACUCUUUUGAGGAGUUUUAUUAUAAAAGGACGCCGAGAAAUGGGGCAGGAGGCACUUGGAAGGAUGUGGGGUCAAGAGUUUUUGUAGCUGUUGUUUUUAAUAUGGGAGAAAGAAGAGUGUUUGUAUUCUUGGUAUCAAUCCAGUAGAGAGAAAACUUGAUGUUAUUGGAGGGAAGGAAUUCCUGGAGCCAAGGCCUUGAGCUACUAGCCUGGAGCAUGACCAGAAAUAGCUCUAACGGCAUAAUAAAUGACCUAUUUGUGGACCAGCUAGGAGAUUAGGCUCCCUCUUAUUUUAUUUGGAAUGUUGCUAGGUUCUUCACGUACACGAUCCUUAAUCUUAUGUAACAGGACCCCCACAGCCAUCUCCAAGCUAUGCAUGAGGGACUGCUUCCACUAGGAUGUAUGACAUCUGCUGAUUUGCACGAGACACCUGAGCCCAAAGGAGAGAAUUCAACCCCUUUCCAUAAGCAGGGUUCAAGCAUAUAAAGAUAUUUUGGAUGGGAGGUGCGGCGGUCAUGACAGAAGCCAGAUUACGGAGAGGGGCAAGGUCCCUGAAAGAAAGCCACCUUAGAUCAAGAAGUCUGGCAUGAUAGGCUGAAGUCAUUGCAGGCCCUGUGGUUCAGGUGGGCACUGUUUCUGCAUAAAGCAGGUGACUGUGCUUGAAACCAGCCCAGCCCCCUGGGGAAGAUCUGUGUGUCCAGCAAGAAGAGGACUGUGUGGUUCAAAACUAACACGAGCCAACCAUCCCAGAAUAAUUGUAUUACUAAGGUCCCCAGCCUCGAGGCUGCUGAGCCUUCCCUCUGGGAAUAAAAAUGGUAGAACUAUUAGAAGAGGAAGGAAGCAAAGGAUUCCAACCAGCAGUGGUGGGAAGAGCAGACGCUCCCGGAGGAGUUGAGAUGAAGGACAGGACGCUGCCAUCAUGAGGUGCCUGGCAGACCUUUGGCAGUGUGGCAGACAGUACAGGGGGCCUUAGAAUGGAUCAGUCAUGGGCCAAAAGCAGCAGCUAGGACAUUGUUUGUGACAACCCUUCCUCUAGAAGAUAAGAAAACCGAGAGACAGGCAAGGAGAAGGAAUCACAUGUUGCCAUUUGGUGGCCCAGCAGACUUGGGCAAAGCGCCAGGCGUCGUUACCUAGGAUGCACAGAUUAUGCUUCUAACAACUUUAGAAGUUGUUCAUGACAUUGGCAUUUGAGGAGGGUCCUGGCCAGUCAUCCCGCGGAAUGUGCCUCCACAGAGAUUGUCUGGCUGUUUCCACACCGUUUGGUGCAGGCUGGACAUCUUCAGUGAGAACGCUGCAUGGGAGAUUUUUUGACCUAGCUCACGACAUGUUUAUCUAGAAAGAGUAUAUUCCUGCUGUGUCGUGAACUCCUAAGUAAUAAAGCUGCCACACAAAUAUUGCAAGAACAAAAGCAGGAGCAAUCGCCCGGCUAGCUCGUGACCUUCUUAAAGACACCGAGUCUGUAAGGGGAGUAAGCACACACUGCCACCUGUCAGCGUCCUGAACACUCCUGCUCUCAUCCUGCCACACGCCCAGGCUCCAGCAAAUCAAAUACCACAGAGCAGGAGGAGGCCGAAGGUGUUAACAAGCCAGCUCCUUCAGUAAUCCCCGUAAUUACCAUUGCUCCACCCUACUCGUGCACCGCAGCUGCCGCAUGAGCCGACCUGUGCCUCACUCAGAGCCACCGCGGAGGAAAGUCUUAGUAACUGUGUUGCUGCGGUUCCCAGAGCUUCGUCUCGGCCCACGUCCCACCAGCACUGGGGGCCUGUUGCGGUCUGCCUGGGGACUGAUCCAGUUCCAGGAUCCCAUUCCGAAGAUAGGCCAGCAAGGCCGCUUCUGGUACUACCCGUCUUGGCUUGUACACGUCCCCCAAAGUGAAGUCUGAGACAAGGGGCUGUGUGUUAGUUGCUGAUUUGGGGAAGUGAUACCAGGGAGCUGGAGCAGAGGACAGGAGAGAGGGAGAUGGGGAAGGAGGACCAGCCAGUGCAGGGGCAACAGUUCCCUGAGGAGCCAGGGACCAGAAGAGGGGAGCAUUCACCACCACUGCCUGUCCCCGUUGGCCAAUGGUCCCCCCAUGGGGUGUUAACUCCGGAGUGUUAGAAUCAUCCCACCAGCAUCCCAUACAUCCCUCCUUGGGCAGAAAGCAAAGGGUACGGAUGCAGCUGAGGUGGGGGCUGUGGGCUUCAUCCACUCAAAGCUGGUUGCUGCAGUGACUGUUAAAUUAAAACAUUGGCAGAAAGGCUGGGAAGCAGGACACAGAGGCACUGAAACGCUGACCUCCUUGCUGUUCCACAAACUUCCCAGGCAGGAGCGCACGUAAGAGCCUUUGGAACGGCAGUGCCGUCCGCCUGGAACACUUUUCUGGAAUCCUCACGACCCUUCCUCAGGUCUCCCUUCAUUUGUCACCUUUCAGUGAGGUCUCCCCUGACCACCCUGUUUUAAGUCACACCCCCCACCACGCUAUGCCCCCUACCUACUUUCUUUCUUUCCAUAAAACUUAUCACCAUCCAACAUGGUCCAGUAUGAGCUUCCUGAGAGCAGAGAUUUUUGUCAGCUUUGUUAAAUAUUGUAAUCCCAAAGCUCAGACUAACGUCCAGCACAGAGUAGGGCUCAGUAUGUUUUAAAUAAUAAUAUGUAACAAAUGAAUAUGUGAAAAUAGAGUAAUUUUUAAUACAUUUUAAUAUACUAUUUUCAUCUAUUUUUAAUAAAAUUACUCCAUAGCUUCUAUUUCCAUAUACUUUUACAAAAUUACUCAGCUCACCUCUUCACUCAACAAUACAUCACUGUCAUUGGGUCAAUAGACAGACCUCUAUUAAUUUCAUUCUUUUUACUAGCUGCAUAGUAUUUCAUAUUUCAUGUUUAAAUGGACCACAGUUUACUAGCCAUCCUCUUCUAUCAAAGGACAUUUGUAUUGUUUCCAAUGUUUUGCCUCCACAAACAAUGCUGCAAUAAAUAUCCUUGUACAUACA